rnacentral:lncRNA from 1 species
UUUUCAUAAAACAAUUUUUAUAGAACGCUACGUAAAUAAUUUUUACAGCGUAAAAGCAAAAUAAAUUCCUACAUACAGUAGCACACGCAGCUAGGUAUUCAAAACAUUUAACAAUGACAUGUGGGCCCCCGAAUGACUAAAAGUAAUGAGGGUUGUGAACCUACAGUUUUUGAGGAUGCAAGUCCAACUGUAGCCAUUGACGAAAUGAGCUAUCUACAGACUAUCCUGAGCCUGAAAUGGGUGGAAAGAAGGGUGAUGAGAUUAUAUAAUCCCAGUGAGUAGACAAAUAUCAUCUAAAACUGAGUAAAUGGAGACAGAUAAAAUAGAUUAGAAUAAAAAUGAUUCACAGCAUUUCGAACUCAUUUUAAUAAGAUAAAAUAUAUUCAUUUCACCCAAAUAAAUAACGAGGCUUAUGACUUCCUGAAAAGCUUAGCUCGUGCCAAAAUCAUUCUCAUACUCGAUUGUCAGAGAUACCUUGGCCUAGGGCUAUCCCAAUCGAGUCCAACAAGGCUGUUAAAAAGUCAUGUAUGCAUAAAUCAUGUUUUUAUUUUGAAAACAUAGCCGUUCCUUGGCGUUUGUUGAGUUCACCCUCACGUGGUGGUUUGGCGUGAAGUGAACUCUAAAGUGUUAACCUCAGGAGUUAUCCAUCCGCGCCUCUCAUACUGAGGUAAGAUACAAUAGAAUCUAUCGUGCCCCUCUAAUAGGCUGGUCCAUGGAAACCCGCCUACUAUAGUAAGCUAAUAAUUAUCCCACCAAUCAAUAAAAUUCAAUAACAUAAUAUGGAAAUUAUUGUAAUUCCACAGCCUUUCAAGGCAAAAAACAGUUUAUACAUUUCAACACAAAUACCAAUUCAGCCAUUCAUGCAAAUAUUGUCAUAAGCCAUUCGAUUCAAAUCAUGAAUUUACAACACAUGAAAACAGUCUCCAAUUACUCUAUUUUCAAACCAUCAUUCAAUUUCAAGACAAUUUAUAAAAUCAUUUUAUUUAAACACAUUUUGGUUACAAAAUAUAAAGAUUCACCAUUUAACUCAUUUCCAUAAAAUCACAAAAUCGGAUAAAAACUACUUUAGAUAAUUAAGAUGAUAGUAAGGUUACUCACUGUACUGGGAGUUUGAUAUAUUCCUAUUCCCGGUCUUCGGGCACAAUCUCUUUACCCUUGUUAAAGGGCUCCCCACCUAUACAUCAUACGUGACACGAAUUUCAAUAAAUUGUGUCAAUUUAUCAUAAACUAUUUUAGGCUCUAUAAAUCUAUAUGAAUGCAUGAAAUGUGAUGCAAAAUGUCUGAAUAGCCAUUUAAAUACAGUAUUCGACCUAAUUCGUACUAUUCUCGGUGUAAAUGGGCUAAAACCUCCAAUUUAACUCCAAAUCUAUUUCUUUCACUUUCUACACUCCAAUUAUACUUAAAAUACCUCAAUGACUGUGAAUAUGAUUCAAUUUAUCAGUUCGAACCAUAAAUCACACAUGUCUACACAUUAGGUAAAAUCCGAAUUUUGAUGCCAAAAUUUCCCAUUAAAUUUUGAGCCUCGCCAAUCAUUAAAUACCACCAAAAUAUCAUGAAAUAUCAUCAAUUUCAACCUCAAUAUCCUCCCUAGAAAAUUCGGCCUCUUGUAGGUUUAUGAAGAACAAAGUGAUUCCUUGCUAGAUUUUCAUACUUUCCAUUACCAAACAACCAAAAACACUUAAUUAGCUUGAAAUCUAGCAAAAUCAAUGCUCAAAACCUCUCCUCUCAAAUUUGGCCAGCAUGGGUUCAUCAUGCAAACUUGAGUUCUAAGCAUGGAAAAUGAAAAAGAAAGCAUGGGUAGUGUAAAUCACAAGAUAAAAUCACAAAAUUUUACCUUUAUUAGCUUAAUCCCUUGAAAUCCCACACUUUCUCUUCAAUUUUCUGACCUAGGGUUUGUGUUCUUUCCUUUCCUCUUCAC